rfam:Pseudoalteromonas sp. OCN003 chromosome 1, complete sequence.
CUUGGUGACUAUAGCGUUUUGGAACCACCUGACCCCAUGCCGAACUCAGAAGUGAAACGAAACAGCGUCGAUGAUAGUGUGGGUUCGCCCAUGUGAAAGUAGAACAUCGCCAAGC